rnacentral:lncRNA from 1 species
UAACUGCUACUACUGAAUGCUUACCAUACCAAAGAACACUUAACUUUUCCUCCUACUGUCCACUCUCUCAUAUCAAUACAAUAACAUCCUCGACAACGAUUUUAGUACCGUGUGUAAUUCACGAAUACACAAGCAUAUCCCAAACCAUGGAACGAACAACUUCCAAUCCACAAAAUCUAAUCAAGACAAUUCCUUCAAUUAUAAUUCCUCUCCACUAAACUUACAACCUUGCGAUAAACAGUGAUUGGAAACUUCCAUACGUCCUCAAUCUUUCACAACAAUUGAUAAAUAGUGAUCCAUAAAUAACUUUGUAAAUCAAACAUUAAUUCAUUAAAUCAAUUCUCUUCACUAGAAUCAACACUAACACAAAAGAAACAAGAAAACUAAGAAGAAGAGAUAGCACCAAGCUUAUCCCCGGCUCAGUACUAUCGCAGUCUGGCAUCCCGGCUUACGACUCUCACAGUCUGGCCCUCGGCUUACGACUCUCACAGUCUAGCAUUUUCUUCCCCUCUCCCAUCCUCCUUAUACUACCCCGAGAUACCAACUCCUAUACUACAGAUGAUAACUACUUUUCCUGACUAUUCAUCCAUUCUACUUGCUGA